CCCUUAGAUGUCCUGGGCCGCACGCGCGCUACACUGAACAGUUCAACAAGUCUUAACCUUGGCCGAUAGGUCUGGGUAAUCUUUGAACGCUGUUCGUGAUUGGGAUAGACCUUUGCAAUUAUGGGUCUUCAACGAGGAAUUCCUAGUAAACGCAAGUCAUCAGCUUGCAUUGAUUACGUCCCUGCCCUUUGUACACACCGCCCGUCGCACCUACCGAUUGAAUGGUCCGGUGAAAUCUCGGGACGGCGGCUUGGUCGCUUGCGUCCGACUGCUGAAACUUGAUUAAACCAUAUCAUUUAGAGGAAGGUGAAGUCGUAACA
rnacentral:rRNA from 1 species